UACGAAGGGGGCUAGCGUUGCUCGGAAUCACUUGGGUCGGUAAAAGGCGCACGUAGGCGGAUUGCUAAAGUCAGGGGGUGAAAUCCUACGGAGCUCAACUCCCAGAACUGCCCUUGAUACUGGCGGUCGUCGAGUCCGGGAGAGGUGGAGUGGAACUGCGAGUGUAGAGGUGAAAUUCGUAGAUAUUCGCAAGAACACCAGUG
rnacentral:rRNA from 1 species